GGGUUCUUGGUCUAGGGGUAUGAUUUUCGCUUCGCAUGUUCCUCUGGAACGCGGCAUGUGAAAGGUCGUGGGUUCAAUUCCCACAGGAUCCA
rnacentral:tRNA from 1 species